UAACGCGUGGGAAUCUGCCCAGAGGUAGGGAAUAACCGUGGGAAACUGCGGCUAAUACCCUAUGUGUCCUAAGGGGCAAAGAUUUAUCGCCUUUGGAGGGGCCCGCGUCGGAUUAGGUAGUUGGUAGGGUAACGGCCUACCAAGCCUACGAUCCGUAGGUGGUCUGAGAGGAUGAUCAGCCACACUGGGACUGAGAUACGGCCCAGACUCCUACGGGAGGCAGCAGUGGGGAAUAUUGGACAAUGGGGGCAACCCUGAUCCAGCAAUGCCGCGUGAGUGAUGAAGGCCUUAGGGUUGU
rnacentral:rRNA from 1 species